UUUAGCUCUGUUUUCCAAAGCGUGACCGAAAUCUCGCGAGAACAAGCAGCAACAGCUGGAAGGCAGAACCGGACAGUAGCCUGAAAAGUUCAUUCAUUUAUUUUAUGAAAGAUUUAUNUAAUAAUGGCUGACUUUUUGCCAGACUUCGACUUUGUGGAGGAGGAAUUUGAUUUUGCAGAGUUUGAUGGCCGCCCUUAUUUAUUUGAGCCAGAAUACACUGACGAAGAGCUUCGUGAAAUUGAAGAACGGAGGAGGAGAGAGAGAGAGGCGCAACAGGUAGAGGACGAGAGAGGAGGAAUGGCUGCUGCAAGGCUGCGUAGCUCUGGAGAUUGGUGGUGUACCUGUGAAUGCUGUGCCCCAGUGCCCACAGAAGAGGAAUGCCUCUGUUGCAAGGAAUGGGACCGGUUGCAGCCUUAUUUUCAAGGUCUGGAUGUGACCGAGGACGAGACACCUCCACCUGGAGUAGUAUCCAGCUGGGCUUUAUCUAGAGCUCGCGAGAUAUAUUUCGGCCGCGCUUUGGAAAGCAGAGCUAAAUGGUAAACAAACAUGGCAGCACACCGGUAAGGUAAGACAACACGUUUACAUGUCGUUUUCUAUAUGUUCUCUGACAUUUAUCCUAACGAUA